GCACAGCCUUCUCUCACUUUGUGUCAGCCUCCUACAGAGACAGGAGCUCAGCACAUAGCCGCUGCGUGGCGAUAACAGUGUGUGAACAAAAUGAUUGUGGCACAUCCUGAUGGACGAGAGGAUGAACCUUUCCACAGCUAUGGCUCUGGAGAGGAGCUAAAGCGUACGCGACUGGACCCUGUAUCCACUCUCCCUGUCUUGGCAGCAGUUUCCCAGAAGCCCAAAGGCUGA
rnacentral:lncRNA from 1 species